AUUGAACGCUGGCGGCAUGCUUUACACAUGCAAGUCGGACGGUAACAGGCCGCAAGGUGCUGACGAGUGGCGAACGGGUGAGUAAUGCAUCGGAACGUGCCCAGUCGUGGGGGAUAACUACUCGAAAGAGUAGCUAAUACCGCAUACGAUCUAUGGAUGAAAGCGGGGGACCGAAAGGCCUCGCCCGAUUGGGGCGGCCGAUGUCAGAUUAGGUAGUUGGUGGGGUAAAGGCUCACCAAGCCAACGAUCUGUAGCUGGUCUGAGAGGACGACCAGCCACACUGGGACUGAGACACGGCCCAGACUCCUACGGGAGGCAGCAGUGGGGAAUUUUGGACAAUGGGCGCAAGCCUGAUCCAGCAAUGCCGCGUGCAGGAAGAAGGCCUUCGGGUUGUAAACUGCUUUUGUACGGAACGAAACGGCUCUGGUUAAUACCCGGGGCUAAUGACGGUACCGUAAGAAUAAGCACCGGCUAACUACGUG
rnacentral:rRNA from 1 species